rnacentral:rRNA from 1 species
CCUACGGGUGGCAGCAGUGAGGAAUAUUGGUCAAUGGCCGGAAGGCUGAACCAGCCAUGCCGCGUGAAGGAAGACGGUUUUCGGAUUGUAAACUUCUAUCAAUAGGGAAGAAAGAAAUGACGGUACCUAAAUAAGAAGCCCCGGCUAACUACGUGCCAGCAGCCGCGGUAAUACGUAGGGGGCAAGCGUUAUCCGGAAUUACUGGGUGUAAAGGGAGAGUAGGCGGCAAGGUAAGCGAUAUGUGAAAGCCUUAAGCUUAACUAAAGGAUUGCAUAACGAACUAUCUAGCUAGAGUACAGGAGAGGAAAGCGGAAUUCCUAGUGUAGCGGUGAAAUGCGUAGAUAUUAGGAAGAACACCAGUGGCGAAGGCGGCUUUCUGGACUGAAACUGACGCUGAGGCUCGAAAGCGUGGGGAGCGAACAGGAUUAGAUACCCCGGUAGUC